UUUUCCCCCAGUUAAUCUGUCCUCCGCCGAUCCAAUUUCUUACUUAACCCAGACUCCAUUCUUCUACCCGAAUCCCCGCUACCUCUGAUUGAUCCUAACACGCCGCCCUCAGGGGCGGAGGAACGGCCUCCGCGCCCAGCUUGCGGGCCGGCCUCCGUGCCGCAGGCGGCUGCCCUCAGGGGCGGGGGAACGGCCUCCGCGGGCGGCUCAAGGGGCUACGCCCAGGACGUGCGGCGCAAGCGGCGGAAGGGGCUACGCGGACGCCGUGCGCCGUGACCUGCGCGGUCGGCGUGCGCCGCGGCACACGGCCGGCAGGGGCGGGUGAAGGGGCUCCGGUGUGCGGUGCGCCCUCCGCGGCCGGCGUGGCACGCGGCGUCGGCCCACGGCUCGAUAACCAGCCACCGACGGCGUCGCGGACGGGAAAGGGGCUCCGCACCCACUAAUGAUUGGACGACUUGCUCCAGAUUGGGGGGGGGGGGGGGGGGGGGGGGGGGGCGCGGCUGGCCGCGGGGCAAGCGCAGCUCGGGGCAGCGGCGAGCGCACGCGAGCCGAAUCCGUGGCGACUCGCACCACCCGGUCGGCUUUAGCGCCGUCCCCAACGUCCCACUCCUCACCAACGGCCAGAUGGUCGACAACAUCCUGCUGGAGCAGCACGCGCUCGUGCCGUCCUACAUGGCAGCUGCGGCGGCGGAGGCGGAGGCAAGAGGAUCCAUCCGUGACCCCACAAUCCAAUGCUGGAAUCUGGCAAUCCAGUCUCUACUCCGUAGCGAGCUGUGUCCUCAAUUGCUUGGUUGCUUGCGCAGUGCAACCGAGAUCCAUGGACCCGUGGAGCGUGGCUUGGAGCGACCGGACGGAGUGCUGGAAGAAGAACCAGGUGCGCCUGCAGCACGACAGGAGCGAGGGCGGCUGUGAUUGGGACGGCGACGAUGGUCGAUGCUGAUAUGGCGCUGUCUCACUCUCACCUAAAGUAAUACGCCUCCUCUCCCGUCUGACUGGAGCAUGCUGAGGACAAUGGCCUCUCCCUCAAGACCACUUGCUCCUUUGCAAAUGACGCCGAGUGCAAGCCUCUAAUAUGCAGUAUGCAUGUUCUUGCAAGGGUGCGUUGCUGAUUGACUGGCCAAAUUAGGCACUGAAUUAUAAAAAAAUUCAUGUAUGUUGACAAAAUUCAGUCUUGUCCAAUUGGAAUUCCAAUUACAGAUCUGUCCAAAUUCUGAAUUGUUUGCUACAUAAUAUCUUUCCUGGUUUAUAGAAACUCGACUCUUGGGUAUUUGGUGGUUGUCUUCUCUACACCAUUUAGGGGACAAUUUUCAUACCUUGUGAGGACUAUUUUGUGCUGUAAAAACCAAAAGCCAAAAUUUAGAUCAGAGAUUUUUGGGAACUAGCAUGUUUUGCGGUGGUUGGUUCCAGUCCUGUUGUGCGUAUACAUGUAUAGUCUGAAUUUAGUACGUGACACAAUUGUGGUAGUUUAAGUUCAGCUUACAUGGGUUUAUCCAGUUCACCGGUAUUCCUAGACUAGCUACUGCAGGUCUGGAAGUACAUGGCACUGUCAGGUCUGGGACUGGAAGUACAUUGGUGUUGGUCAGCUCAACAUCGCAAGAAAAAGAAUGCAGUAUUGAAGUGCACAUAUUGCAAUCCUAGGCCUGAUGGUUGCAUGCAGAUCCUUGCCCUGCAGUAUCCAGAACGCAGGAAAGCCAACGAAACUCUGGAAGUUUAUUUAAUGGAGGAAACAAACAUCAUCUCACAUAGCCAUUUACGGAUAUCUCUUGCGCAAUUGCCUUGUAUGAGAUGAAAAAAGAUAUAUAGAUUGAGCCUAAUUGUCUUGUAUUACAAUUGUUUUGUGAUCCCAUAAGUUGUGAUUUUGCACUAUGGAUGUGGUUGUGUAAUCAAUACAAUAACUUUAUGUUACAUCUUUUUUGUAUGAACCAUA